GGCCGUGUGCCGAGACGUUCCGGAAAAUUGCCUCCAAUCUGGGUCCCGUUUUUCUUUCCGGCUGUUGUCAAUAUUCAUGCGCGGUAUACAUUUCACGGCGCACAGUAAAUUACUUUUUGCCUCCGAGUCAACCACCACUUCCAAUUAGAACAAGCGUCUAAUAUAAUUACAAAAAAUGCACCUUGUAAUGGGAAAACUAGCUGCUGCACAAGAAGAGGAAACAACAAGAAAGCUAACCACACAAAAUCAGACUUAGUUGGAAUUCCCCAGACGGGAACCAGACACACGAAAAUUUGAAGCAAAGCGUAGAAGUAACCGAGAUAUUUAUCAGAGCCAUCAGCGAGACGCUCGGAAAGAAGAACGAUCAUCGGACUCAAAUCUCCACAACACUGUCAUUAUCACCUACACAUCGUGUCACGUGUUGCGGGAACAGCUGGGAAGUUCUAUUUCUUUAUUCCAUGUAGCCGCGAGAAGAUUUGUGCUAGUUUUGGUAAUUUAGCACAAUUUGCAGUUUAUUUAGCACGUUGGUUCACGAGCAAACCGGAUGACAAGAUGAAAGUCACGAAUGGAUCAUUUGUGUGACACACUUCGUCUUCUAGUUUAGAAUAGCGGCCCAUACACGAGUCAUUAAAAAUGUUAUUACUAAAAAAUAAUAUCAUUUUAAUGAACGUGUAUGGUGCAGUAAUGACGAAUUUUCUAUAAAAUUUGAAAAUACAUCAUUACUUAGUCAUCAUUAAAAAUAGCAAAAAUAAUCCUCGUGUAAGGGCCGCUCAUGAAAUAUUUCGACAGUCCCACGACAAAAAGGCCUAACUGCAAAUGAGAGCCUUUCUUUGUUUACUUUCUCUUCUGAUUAUUACGGAGCCAUUACUGCAAAUUCUUGAAAGUUUUCAAUAUCAAUUGAAAGCUUGUAGUUUCAACUUGAAAGUUUGGCGAAGAGUAUGUCGUCAAAUAUAAAAUCAAUUCGGUAAAUCGCGAAAGAAAAAAUAAACAAAGAGAAACUGUCAUUUGCAGUUAGGCCUUUUUGUCGUGGGACUGUCGAUUUGUCGAUAAAUGCGAAACCAUA